AAUCUGGUUGAUCCUGCCAGUAGUCAUAUGCUUGUCUCAAAGAUUAAGCCAUGCAUGUCUAAGUAUAAGCAAUUAUACGGCGAGACUGCGAAUGGCUCAUUAAAACAGUUAUAGUUUAUUUGCUAGACGUUUAUAUGGAUAACCGUAGUAAUUCUAGAGCUAAUACAUGCUGGUUACGCUGUGCGUAGUAUUUAUUAGAUAAAACCCAACGGGGGCGACCCUGUGGAGGAAUCAUAAUAACUUA
rnacentral:rRNA from 1 species